rnacentral:misc_RNA from 1 species
GGUCAAUAUCUCUGGAUCGUGAGUUGUUUCUGCUGAUUCUGCAGGUUCAAUCUUCUUCAAAGCUUGAACAAGCCGUUCUUCUUUCAUUCUAGCCUUUUUCAACUUGUAUAAAAGUUUUUCUUCUGCUGUCAUUCUUUCAUAUUCUUUCUUCUUUUUCCACCUGAAGAACUUUAGCCACCUUACAACUGCUCGUUUUCCCUUCAACUUCUUCCUC